UCCUCCCUCUGUCGGCGUGCUUAACACAUGCAAGUCGAACGGUAAGGCCCUUUCGGGGGUACACGAGUGGCGAACGGGUGAGUAACACGUGGGUGAUCUGCCCUGCACUUUGGGAUAAGCCUGGGAAACUGGGUCUAAUACCGGAUAGGACUACGCGAUGCAUGUCGUGUGGUGGAAAGCUUUUGCGGUGUGGGAUGGGCCCGCGGCCUAUCAGCUUGUUGGUGGGGUGAUGGCCUACCAAGGCGACGACGGGUAGCCGGCCUGAGAGGGUGUCCGGCCACACUGGGACUGAGAUACGGCCCAGACUCCUACGGGAGGCAGCAGUGGGGAAUAUUGCACAAUGGGCGCAAGCCUGAUGCAGCGACGCCGCGUGGGGGAUGACGGCCUUCGGGUUGUAAACCCCUUUCAGCACAGACGAAGCGUAAGUGACGGUAUGUGCAGAAGAAGCACCGGCCAACUACGUG
rnacentral:rRNA from 1 species